rnacentral:rRNA from 1 species
GCAUAUCAAUAAGCGGAGGAAAAGAAACUAACAAGGAUUCCCCUAGUAACGGCGAGUGAAGAGGGAAGAGCCCAAGAUUGAAAGCUGGCGUCUUCGGCGUCCGCAUUGUAAUCUCAAGAAGUGUUUUCCGCUUCGGACCAUGCCUAAGUCCCUUGGAAAAGGGCAUCAUAGAGGGUGAUAAUCCCGUACAUGGCAUGGAGCGCCCGAAGCUUUGUGAUACGCUUUCUAAGAGUCGAGUUGUUUGGGAAUGCAGCUCAAAAUGGGUGGUAAAUGCCAUCUAAGGCUAAAUAUUGGGGAGAGACCGAUAGCGAACAAGUACAGUGAUGGAAAGAUGAAAAGAACUUUGAAAAGAGAGUUAAACAGUACGUGAAAUUGCCAAAAGGGAAGGGUAGGAGGUCAGAGAUGCGGCCURGGAUUCAGCCUUGCUUUUGCUKGGUGUUUUUCCUAGGUUGCAGGCCAACGUYGGUUUUGGGCMCUGGAGAAGGGUGGAAGGAAUGUGGCACCUYUCGGGGUGUGUUAUAGCCUUCUACUGGAUACAGCGACCGAGACCGAGGACAGCAGCGUACUCGCAAGAGCGGGCCUUYGGGCMCCUUUACGCUUAGGGCGUUGGCAUAAUGGCCCUCUACCMCCCGUCUUGAAACACGGACCAAGGAGUYUAACAWGUAUGCGAGUCUUUGGGKGGCAAACCCAUAGGCGCAAUGAAAGUGAAUUCAGGUGGGAUCCGCAAGGUGCACCAUCGACCGAUCCUCACGUYUUUUUAAGUCGUGGAUUUGAGUAAGAGCAUACCUGUUGGGACCCGAAAGAUGGUGAACUAUGCCUGAAUAGGGUGAAGCCAGAGGAAACUCUGGUGGAGGCUCGUAGCGGUUCUGACGUGCAAAUCGAUCGUCAAAUUUGGGUAUAGGGGCGAAAGACUAAUCGAACCAUCUAGUAGCUGGUCUGCG